GGAGGGCAGGGCACAAAAUGGCGGCCGCGGUACUACAGAGCCGAGGGAAGCGCAGCGCGCAUGCGCCCCGUCGCCUGAGAGAGGGACGCGGAGCCUCCGUUAUGGCGGCGGGUGUUAUCGGGUUUGCGGUGCUGCUGGCGGGGCUCGGAGCGGUGCAGGCGGAGGACUCCUGCUUGCCUCCAGAUAACGUCCAGAAUGCAGAGCUCAUGGAGAGUUUCAGCGCAAUGAGCAGCUUUCCUGUUGGAACCACUGUGAGCUACACCUGUCGCCCCGGCUAUAGGAAGAUCCCUGGGAUGCCCACUGAUCGAACGUGUGGUGAAAACUUAGAGUGGUCACAAAUUGAGACGUUCUGUACAGCGAGAAAAUGUACUCAUCCAGGAGAUUUAGAAAAUGGCUUUGUUCAUGUGACAGAUCUUACAUUUGGUUCAGCAGCUACUUUUUCUUGUGAGAAAGGGUACAGGUUAUAUGGAGAUAAACAAAUUACCUGUGUAAUUAAAGAUAAAGGUGUUGACUGGAAUGGAGCUCUUCCUGUAUGUGAUCAUGUUGUUUGUGAACCACCUCCAAGUAUAGCCAAUGGGCGUUACACUGAAGCAGACAGCUAUGUUUAUCAAUCAACGGUAACCUAUAGUUGUAAUGAUGCACAGAAAGGAGAAGAUCCCUUCUCGCUGAUUGGUUCACCUUCUAUUUUCUGCACGGCUGAUGAAAGCUCAAAUGGUGUUUGGAGCGGACCACCUCCACAGUGUAAAGUGGUCAUCUGUGAAAACCCAGAGGUAGAACAUGGAAGAAAAUUAACUGGGUCUGCAUCUCACUAUUUCUAUGGGAACUCAGUUAUGUUUGAAUGUGAUCCAGGCUAUGUAUUGUUUGGUGAGGAUGUAAUUACCUGUCAAGAAAAUAGCACCUGGUACCCACCAAUACCAACUUGUCGUAAAGUUAGUGGAGAUUCAUGCAGUGCCCCAAGCAUCUCCCAUGGAGAAGUGGUGCCAUUGAAAUCUGUGUACUCAAGAGGAGAGUCUGCUCAGAUAAGGUGCAGUCCUCACUGUGCAUUUCCUGAUGGUGGUACAGAGGUCACAGUAACGUGCCAAGGACAAAAUACAUGGAGUUCUGAACCAAACUGUGCAUGUGGUCCUGUACCUUCUGGUUCCUCUCCAGUCAUCAGCCACGGUAGAAUAAUUGAAGGAAAAAAACCUGCAUAUUCUGUAGGGGAUUCAAUUACAAUUGAAUGUUACGUAGGCUACACGUUACAUGGUGCAGCUCGUAUUGAGUAUAUUGGAGAAGACAGAUGGAGUCCAGAAGUGCCAGUUUGCAAGUUAAGUGCUUAUAUUAUUGCCAUCAUCUGUGUGAUCGUGGCACUUCUGUUGUUCCUGGCAGCCUUCUGGAUCUUUAAGAUUUUCAUUUCACGGGAAGGCUUGUGCCCUCAUCAGCUCAACCCCACCGAGCAGAGACAGCAACCAACAGCAAAAUCGGACUGCGUCACAGAUGUAACAUGACCAUCAGCAAAACAAGUGCAGGAAGAGAUCAUGGCUGUCUCAUCGUUCAGACAGCCUCCUUGCAGGAUCACAGAAGAAUGAGCCGGGACCACCAUUGCUGCUGCUAUUCCAGUUGCUCCCCUGCUCUGCGGAACUGGCGCUGCAGGAGACAAGGAUGCUCCAGCCAGCGAGGGCUCAGUGACUCAGGAGGGGCUGUGAUGACUACAGCAGAAGCUGAACCCCCUCUGGAAUCCAGCAGAGAAAGGAGGAGAGGCGAGGAAGGUGCCCCCUUGUGCUUAACCACCGCCUAAAGAAGAGGAAAAGAAGGAAGGAAAGGAAGAACUAAAAGCCCCGAAGCCAAAGCUCUUUCCGUGGUGGAGCUUGGCAGCUCUGACACGUCAUCGUGACAACGACACAGCAAAGCGAAACCUUCCCGGUGCUGGCACAGGGCAGCCAGGAGGUGGAAACCGAACCCGGGGACCGAACUUGGGGUAUCAGACAGUCGGUACCACGAUGCUGGACCGGACCGGGAGCCCCCGGUACUUUGAGACGAGCUCAGCCAACAUUCGGAUUUGACACCAGGCUAUCAGCCAAUCCGAGAGGGCUUUUCACCUGCCAUCGUUUUCUCCUCCAAUCAAACGGCUUGUUUGGGCAGAGAACCCACCCCGGCCAAUCGGGAGGCAGCUGAGCCACUUAGUUAAUGAUGCAGCAGUACAGGGAAGACUAUCACAUGUGAGCUGGAAGGCUGCCAACAUGGAGACACGGAGAGAGCAAGGUAAACAACUUUCCAACGCCAAAAUGAUGACAUUUAAUCCCUAAAUGCUUGCUUCCCGUCUCGACUCAUCCUUAACCCCCUUUCAGCUGGUGUGGAAGAGUCUGGAAGGGGCACCCUUGGUACCUGUCCCCAAUGCUUUUUUAAAAACUGUGCCCUGCAAUGAUCAUACUGCGUCACUGUUUGCCACUUUCCGAACUACGCAGUGAUAAAGCCCUGAGCCCGGCUCGCAGGGUGGUUGUUAACCCCUGCACCCAGCCCUGCCUCAAUGCCAGCCCUUAAGGGAGGGGGGGGGAGAAGGCAGGGAAUAAAAAGCCCGAGCAAAACACGAAAACAGCAGUCUGCAAAGUUGUCAUCUCACCCCCACGGCUGCUGCCCACCUCUGCAUUACAGCAAUGCCGGCGAGAGUGGCAUUCGUACAACCUGUGCCGACGUUCCAUUGAGAAAACAGCUCUGACGCAGAGCAGAGCAAAUCAUACCCAGCCGAAAUAAUAAUGAAGGCACUUGGGGGAGCUGAACUUAGGGACGAUAGGGAGGAAGGAGGGACGCCCUGCAAAGCAUUACAAAAGGUAGAUGCAGCUCCAGCCCCAUCCUGAUCAAAGGGUACGUACGUGGGAAAGACGAACCGGACCGAGGAGCUCUGCCCGUGUACCAGCUGCGCAGCGUUCAGCCCUCUGCUUGCCGUGGAGCGCCGCAGAACAGAAGGUUCCAGAAAUUUCCUUUCCCGUUAACCCUUUCGGUGUCUGCCCACUCUCCCUCCCCGCGGGAUUAAGUACGCCGGGUCUCCAGCAUCGUCAACGGGCGAAGCCUCCUACGCCAACCGAGCCCAGAUGCGUUCUCUAAAUGACACUGUCUGGUGACAGGAGCUCCAUCCGUGGUCGUCUGAAGAGCCUGAGCUAUUUUGGGAUUCGUCUGUACUACACUGAAAAUGACACCUGUUACACACAGACAUAAAUGAGAAGAAUUGCAAGCUCCUGGUUUCUCAGAUACAGCUCUACCGUGGAACAGAAAGAUAGGAGCUGGGGAUGUAGGAGGGCAGUGUGGGGUGAAGAGCUGACCCUUGUGAACUGAGUAUCCAGACAGCAGUACAAGGAGUGCACAAGGUUUGUUGUAUCCGAUGCAGACCUCCCAGUGACCAAGAGCAGUAAGUGCUUGGUCAACAAAAUGCUGUAAGAUGGGGUUUCUUACACGAUUGAACCUAUGGGACUUCAAGCCUCACAGAUCUGCUUUGUGGGCAAAGCUGCAAGCGUUAACUGUUUCAGUUAAUUGUAAGAGUGCUUCGGCUACUUAAAUGAGUCAUUCAGCGGUGAUGCUCUGAUGUAGGCCAGCAUUUUGUGCAGGGUUACACAGUCAGUUUCCAUUACCCCUGAGUUAUCUCAGAAGCUCAACCAGCACACAGAGACAGAGCGGAUUUCCGUGUUCCCCUUUGCUGUGUCUGCCUGCAGCUGAUGUGCAGAGCCCCAGAGAGACAGCAGCCCCCAGGUGCUGAUCCAAGAAGAAUCGAAGCAACUGUGCCUUGCAAAGCACUCAGGUUUAUUGCCAUCCAGAUGAUUUUCAUUAGUGAAUGUCAGAGGAAUGGCUUCUGGAGUGUUUGCAGUGAUUCCUGGCUGUGAUCAGCUCAACCACCAUUGCUGUGACACACGUCUUUGCCAGCCCAGUGUGUGCACACUGCGGUCCCAUCCAACCACAGAGCAGGUUUCCUGUUUCACAUGGGGACACCAAGGCUGUGAAUGGAUGGAGGGUCGCUGCGCUCAGCCCCCAGCACUGGAAGGCAUCUGAGAGCCGAGCUGACCAGCAGACCUCAUUGAGGUUUUCCCCAGGCUGGAAGGUUUCCACCAAGUCAAGAAGAUGGUCGUGUUUGGGAUGGUCUGCCUGAUCCUGCGCCCUGUGUCAGCUCUGUCAUAUGGGGAAGGUUCACCUGCAGGAGCACCAGGCUUUCAGCUGCUCAGAGCCAUUCUAUCCUUAGCACUGCCAUGAAUGUGUUCUGCACUGCAAGUCCAGAGCUCCACAGCUGCAGCCCUGGAGUGGGAGCUUUCCUUGGCAGCUCGGGGUGAGACGUGGGCGAGGGCACUAGCGGAAGGAACCCAUGACACCCUGACCCUUGUGAGCACACGUUUGUUUUCUGCACUAAAACCAGCAGACCCGCCGAAAUCUGGGUUAUAUAAUACUACUGCUGCCUCGAAACGGGGAGGUUAAAAUGAGGUCGUCCAAGAUGGGAGCUGCCUGCAACCCACAGCCGCCUUGGGAGGACGAUCCGCUGCUUGCAUCGAGCCUUGCACACAGGGGAGCACUGCAAACAGAAACAUACAGAGACAGAAACCAGGAUGCUGGAAGUCUCCUGAGUUCUCAGGGUGUGGAAUCAGGCCGGUUGCUUUAUUUGCAUCUCCCUGUUUACGUGACAAACUGUGCUGAGCAGGCAGCGUGACGGGCUGCGGUCACAGGGCACUGCAGAGCUAUGGGGUGCCAGAUCCACACAGCACAGAGCAGCUCUGUGCUGCAGCCAGCACCAGGUGUUACCCUUUGGUGCACUGAAAAGGGUGCAAGGUCUACAUUAUUCCUUCCAUAAUUGCCUGAUGAUCAGUACAUCGUGGUUAAGGGGAUCCAGGUUAGAAAGUAUAGGACUGUAAGCAAGAUAUUUUCCAGAAUACCAAUGCAAAGAAUGGAAGCUUCCUCCUUUAAAUGCAUUUCAGAGAGCAGAGGGUGAGGAACAUGGGGCUGCUUGAAGGGAGCAGCAUGGGGUGAGCACAUCAGUGAGCUUCAGCAGGGGGCAUUUGGUGGUUGAAUGGCUGAAGGGGAUGUGAUGGACCAUCGUAGAAUCACAAGGUUGGAAAGGACCUAUAAGAUCAUCUAGUCCAACCAAAUCAUGCUGCUGCCAAGCAUUGCAAAGAAAGAGGCAAAAAUCAUGUUACCAAGAGCAUGAGUUUGUUUGAGGAAGGCCUACUACGUCCUAACAGCAUGUGAAAGCACCUGGCUUCACAUUGCAAUGGGAACUCUUACCUUCAAGGCACUUAAUUUGUUUCCUGAUCCUCCAGCUUCUCUGCUGGUGCCAGAACAGAGCAGUGAGGGCUGCAGGCAGGACAACUUCAUCUUGGACAGCAAGUGAUGGACAGUGCUUCUGUCCCACCAUCACUGAACUGGAUACAUGUGGAAUGACUGCUGAGCACAGAAAGAAGCUGAAGACGAACCACCUACCUGCUGAAGGCAGAGGAUCAGUGCUGCUCCAGCCUUGUUGGUACCUAUGGGUUUUAGAUCCCAUUGCAGGAUGGAGCCCUGUGUUGUCCUCCAUAGGGUCCCAUUUUAUGCAGGCGAUGUAACUGCAUGGCAGCCUUCAGUAUCAGCACUUCCUUCUGUGUUACUUGCUGCUUUUCAAAGGGAGCUGAGAACCCAGAGGGGCAGCCUGGGCAAGGCAAUGUUGCAAACCCUGCUUUGUGCUGGCAGAGCAAUGCUAAGGCAGGGAGUUAAAACCCUUGCAUAGGUAGACCAUGAAGGAUAACAUAGCAACCCAUAACGUAGGUAAGAAGCACUUUGCAAAGGAGCAGCGCAUAAAAAACAAGCCCGAGCAAAAGGAAACUUAAGCCUCUUAAAUAUUAAAGUUCCAAAAUUAAACCCGUGUUUAUAUAACAGUUGGGUCAGUGCUGCAGAACAUUGGAGUUCACAGCCUUGCACCAAAAAAGGAUCCGGUGGAGCCAACAGCUGCUCCCAUGAGGUCUGCAGUCACCCCAUUAAACAGCACAACCCUAUAGGAGCCUGCCCUAACCCUAUAGGAGCCUGCCCUAACCCUAUAUAGCUUGGCUUAGGGGCAGCCAGAAACAGGCCUGAUAUCCCCACUCAUUACAGGUGAUAGCGCAGCAAUACAAGGCAAAUACACACAAAGUAAGGAGAACAACUCCAUGAAGUCUCUCUGCUGCUGAAUUAUCUUUAAAAAACCCGUCUAAAAAGCCCCGCAGAUAAACCCCCCUACUUAGUAUUUUCUAAGGAAAGAGCACAAAAGAACUUAAUCCAAAGUAAAUAUUUAACCAAACAGCAAUUAACUAACAAUGAUGGAUUGUAAACAGGGCUGAGCUGCGCCUCUCCCUCUUGUUUCUCUGGGCUACAGCUGCCCUAAGGGGGGAAGGCAAGUUGACUGAGUCAGGUUUGUCUCUGCCACCACGUCGCUAUUAAAAGGCUCCACAAACAGAAACGGCAUCGGAUGUUCUGAGAGCGAGGAAAACAGUGAAGAACAGAGCAAAGCAUCGCUGUAAGGCCUGAUGGAACAGCUGCCCUUGGGAAGGAAGGCUAAGAAAACACGAAGCUGUAAAGGAACUGCUUCCCAUCAGGGCAGCCUUGUGUGCCUGCAUCCCAUUUACACAGGGGGAAGUAGGGAUAAUUAUUAAGUAUUAGAACAUAUUCUCAUAAUUAUUAAUUGAAUCAUUACGUCCCGUUUGUUACUGUUACGUUCCAUUAUUAUGUCCCAUUUGGACAACUGUCCCCCCUCCCCCAGCAGAUCACUACAUCCAUAAUAAUAAUUAGUACUUAUUAGUAUUGCUGUUAUCUCUUAUUUCCCACCUCCAGGUGCCUUUGCAACCUGGCUGGGCUCUGUCCAUACUCCCACCUGCACCAGGGCCCAGGGUAAGGGGGGGGUGGAGGGGAGUUAUGGGGCAGGGGAUGCUCCCAUAGCGGCUCUUUCCCCCCCCCCUCCACCCCCGGCCCUGCCGAGCGGAGCAAGCGGCCGCUUCUCCCCCCCCCCGCACCACGCAGCAAGGUCACCCCGCUCUGCCUACACGUCCCAAGAGGCCGUGCCCCCCCCUUACAGCCCAUGGGGGGGUCGGGAGGGGGCGGCGGACGGGCGAAGGAAAAGCUCCGUAUCCACGAGUUCAUCCAGCGCAGCCUUUUUUUCUCUCUCCUUUCUCGCAGGACGGUGCGUCGUCGGGACAUGAAAGAUCUUAUUAAAUCCUGAACGGAAGAGAUGAACCGAGCUGGGGUGGGGGAUCUUCUGCAAUUCAAACCAAAAGCAAAUAAAACAUCGGGAGAUGGAGGAGGAGGGAUCCGGUUCCGAAGGUCGGUGAUACGAAGCUACAACCGCCGCUCUCUCUUCGCAGCUCUGCACCCGCAGCCAUCGGUGGUGCCGCUCCCUCUCCCCCCUUAGGAAGCAGAGCGAUAAUCAUUCCCCAUUUAAUGGAUGGGAAACUUGGCACAGCACAGAUUAAGCGAUUUGCUGACAGCGCGUAAGAAAAUUGCACGAGCGGAGCAUUCUCUCAAUUAUACCAUCCUUCUAACUGCAUAAUUUCCCUCUGUGAUUCCAAACACGGAAUGUACUCCCUGUGUGGGGUUGCAUUGCUGAAUGCAAAGAGUGCAGGCAGCAUUAGCAGCACCCGUGCAUCCUGCUGGGAUGGUUUAAUCCGUGCUGCAGCACCUGGGCACGGAUUGAGGUGGGCAGGGGUGCAGCUGUGACAUAUGGGGGGACCAAAGGAUGCUUUGUGCUGUAGUCCAUGCAGGAAGAGCAUCCAUGGAUGCCCCAUGGGAUGGAGGCAGCCUGGAGGGCAGAGCUGAGCCCCUGGGUGCAGCCACAUUGUGGGUGUGCAGAGCUGAACCCAGCCCUGCCCCGCUGCCAUCCCACCCUAUGUCAGGGCCAUGCCUCGUUCCAGGCUCCCCUGCCCUCAUUUGAAUUGGCCCGGCCUCUUAAUCUGCUGCUAAGUGGGACUGCCGAUGAGCGGCCGAGAUAAAUUUAGAAUGAAAUCUUUGUAUGGGUCAGAGGAAAAACACUGCAGCCUCUGGAAUCCAAACGGAGCAACUGAGUGGCUCCUACUGCAGCCUGAGGGCUGGGAGGGACAAGGAGAGGAGCUGGGGGGGGCUCUCAGUGAUACUUAGACGUGGUCAGCCAAGGCUCCAACCCUACAAACCCAUUCGGGUCUGAUAGACCCAGGAGGUGUUUAUACGCAAUAAGUGCUGCAUCACUCCAGGACCACCAGCUAUGCCACAGCUCUGCUGUUCCCUUACAGUUCUGCUAAGCUGUUAAAUUGUUUUUAAACAAGAAAAUAAUAAUAAUAAUAAUGGUAUUAGUGGUGUGAAAUCCCCCCAUGAAAUCACACAUCUGCUUCCCCUGCUAUAUUCCCAACACCAUUGAAAGCCAUUUUAUCAUGCACUCAUAAAUGGUACGGAACCAACACGAGGAAAGGAAAAGAAUCCUCUGAAUGGUUUCCCUUUAAUAAGCUAUUAGGACCUUGUACUGCUAAUUAAACUAUUAAUUAGAUGUCUUAUCAUCCCCAAACACGUUAACACGUUGCCAAAGCAGCAGAGGAGCCUCUGGGGCAGAUAAGGAAGGGAAGAAGAUGCAAACGUGAAGAUUAACAAAAAGAGGAAGAAAAAUCACAACUAAAAGGAGCAGAAAAAAAGGCAAAUAAAGAACUCGAGGGUGCAUUAUUGAA